rnacentral:tRNA from 1 species
CAGGGGGUAAUUUACUUAGAAUGUCGGCUUUGGGGGCCGGUAGGGGGGGUUUAAGUCCCCUUCCCCUGA